AAGAAGAAAGGGCCCAGCCGGGAGCCAGCUUCACAUACAUGUACAUUUAUUAAUAGAUGCCUUCCUGCUUCUUUGGUCUGUCACGCAUCAUAUGAUCAUCGCAGAUUGCAUGCAGAGGCUACCUCACAAUUCCAAGUACCAAAAAGGAAAAGGAAAAGGGAGAUCCAUGAAGCUAACCGGCAUCUCUCUCUCUCUCUCCC
rnacentral:lncRNA from 1 species